UACGUAGGGGGCUAGCGUUGUCCGGAUUUAUUGGGCGUAAAGAGCGUGUAGGCGGCCAGGUAGGUCUGCUGUGAAAACUCGAGGCUCAACCUCGAGACGUCGGCGGAAACCAUCUGGCUAGAGUCCGGAAGAGGAGAGUGGAAUUCCUGGUGUAGCGGUGAAAUGCGUAGAUAUCAGGAGGAACACCGGAGGCGAAGGCGGUUGCCUGGCAGUGUAUUGACGCUGAGGUGCGAAAGCGUGGGGAGCAAACAGG
rnacentral:rRNA from 1 species